UACGUAGGGUGCGAGCGUUGUCCGGAAUUAUUGGGCGUAAAGGGCUCGUAGGCGGUUUGUCGCGUCGGGAGUGAAAACCUCGGGCUUAACUCGGGGCUUGCUUUCGAUACGGGCAGACUGGAGGUAUGCAGGGGAGAACGGAAUUCCUGGUGUAGCGGUGAAAUGCGCAGAUAUCAGGAGGAACACCGGUGGCGAAGGCGGCUACCUGGCCCACUCUUGACGCUGAGGCGCGAAAGCUAGGGGAGCAAACGGG
rnacentral:rRNA from 1 species